rnacentral:rRNA from 1 species
AUGAACGCUGGCGGCGUGCCUAAUACCUGCAAGUCGAGCGAACAGACGAGGAGCUUGCUCCUCUGACGUUAGCGGCGGACGGGUGAGUAACACGUGGAUAACCUACCUAUAAGACUGGGAUAACUUCGGGAAACCGGAGCUAAUACCGGAUAAUAUAUUGAACCGCAUGGUUCAAUAGUGAAAGACGGUUUUGCUGUCACUUAUAGAUGGAUCCGCGCCGCAUUAGCUAGUUGGUAAGGUAACGGCUUACCAAGGCAACGAUGCGUAGCCGACCUGAGAGGGUAAUCGGCCACACUGGAACUGAGACACGGUCCAGACUCCUACGGGAGGCAGCAGUAGGGAAUCUUCCGCAAUGGGCGAAAGCCUGACGGAGCAACGCCGCGUGAGUGAUGAAGGUCUUCGGAUCGUAAAACUCUGUUAUUAGGGAAGAACAAAUGUGUAAGUAACUAUGCACGUCUUGACGGUACCUAAUCAGAAAGCCACGGCUAACUACGUG